GACGAACGCUGGCGGCGUGCUUAACACAUGCAAGUCGAACGGAAAGGCCCUUCGGGGUACUCGAGUGGCGAACGGGUGAGUAACACGUGGGUGAUCUGCCCUGCACUUUGGGAUAAGCCUGGGAAACUGGGUCUAAUACCGAAUAGGACCGCGCGCUUCAUGGUGUGUGGUGGAAAGCUUUUGCGGUGUGGGAUGGGCCCGCGGCCUAUCAGCUUGAUGGUGGGGUAAUGGCCUACCAAGGCGACGACGGGUAGCCGGCCUGAGAGGGUGACCGGCCACACUGGGACUGAGAUACGGCCCAGACGCCUACGGGCGGCAGCAGUGGGGAAUAUUGCACGAUGGGCGCAAGCCUGAUGCAGCGACGCCGCGUGAGGGAUGACGGCCUUCGGGUUGUAAACCUCUUUCACCAGGGACGAAGCGCAAGUGACGGUACCUGGAGAAGAAGCACCGGCCAACUACGG
rnacentral:rRNA from 1 species